UGUCCCACAUUGAGUGGUUGCACCGUAUCUCAGAAACACCGGAUGCAGGCGAUCCGCGCCUGCUAUUUCCCCCAAUAAAAAAACCCUCGUACGCAAAAUUCGUGCUGCAGAUAUUUUCUUCUCUCUCUGCAUAUUUCUCGCCAGCGAGGCGUACGAACACUGAUCACACCCAUAACAACAAUGUGUAAACUAUUCCCCUGCAUUGUUUUUCAGACCUCUUCUUUUCGUCGGAGCAAGUGCGAUUACGCGUCGGUACUCGCCGCCUUACGCAUCGUCGAGUGACUGGUUGAACAUAUGAAGCAAUGGAAUAGUGAAACUCAGGAUGGUGAUAUGAAUAGCUGCGAAUCUGGAUUCUGUUUGGAACCUCUUGGUACGACUCGAAUCGUGCUUAAUUAGAAGUGAAAUCAUCAACUGUAGUAGGCAUGCGUCUGGACAACCAGUCGUACUUCUAUCAAUCAAAUAAAUGCAGGUAUCAGUAUCACAACCAUUAAAACUUCACAACAUUUAGCUACAUAAAACCUUGUACAUGCACUGUUUUCUCUCGUCAUCAUUUUAAUCCAUCCACUUUAAACUCUAAAUCUUUUCCAUAUGGUUUCAUCCGACUGAAUCUGGUGUGCACAUUGAUCCCAUCACUUCUGAACUUUGCCACCAAUUCUAAUGUAGUUGAAGCCUGUUGCAAAAAUCAAUUUUAAGGUGGUGCAAUUAAUAUGUAGAGAAAAGGUAACAUACUUCACAGUAAUAUACAUAUAUGUGUGAAAUAGGGUUGUAUUAAAAUAAAAUUACCCCAGAUUCAUCGCAUUUGGUGCAUUAGUUUUCUGAUUUCGUGGCUGGCUGAGCUCGAGAUUAAUGGUUGGAUCUAAUUCAUAUUCUUUGUUGAUUCCAUAUGUAAUGUGGGAUACCCUGUCCACUUCACUUACUCUCCCUGGGCUAAAAAGCUGCAUCAGAGAUGUAUUAAUACUUAAUACAUACAUCAAACAUUUAUUUUGGUUCUGAUCUAAUCUGCAGAUACCUUUUUCUGUAAUUCCGCAUUCUUUUCACGUGCAAGAUUUAUCUUCUUGUGUAGUUCCAUGUUUUCUUGCUGAAAGAGGUUACCCUGCGACAAGUUCGAUAAAGUUAUUCGCUCAGCUAAAAAUAAGAACAUUAUACCAACUAUUAAAAUAUGUAACUUUGUUGGG